CCUACGGGCGGCAGCAGUGGGGAAUAUUGCACAAUGGGCGCAAGCCUGAUGCAGCCAUGCCGCGUGUGUGAAGAAGGCCUUCGGGUUGUAAAGCACUUUCAGCGGGGAGGAAGGCGGUGAGGUUAAUAACCUCAUCGAUUGACGUUACCCGCAGAAGAAGCACCGGCUAACUCCGUGCCAGCAGCCGCGGUAAUACGGAGGGUGCAAGCGUUAAUCGGAAUUACUGGGCGUAAAGCGCACGCAGGCGGUCGGUCAAGUCGGAUGUGAAAUCCCCGGGCUCAACCUGGGAACUGCAUUCGAAACGGGCAGGCUAGAGUCUUGUAGAGGGGGGUAGAAUUCCAGGUGUAGCGGUGAAAUGCGUAGAGAUCUGGAGGAAUACCGGUGGCGAAGGCGGCCCCCUGGACAAAGACUGACGCUCAGGUGCGAAAGCGUGGGGAGCAAACAGGAUUAGAUACCCUAGUAGUC
rnacentral:rRNA from 1 species